ensembl:lncRNA
CUCCUUUCAAAUUCUAGACAGGCUGUUAUCAGCAGUUGUCUACCUGCUACAUAAACCAAAUGGAAAGGCUCUCCUUUCUCAGGAUCACCACCUAUAACAAAUUUCUCAGCUUCAGAUUUCUUCCCUUGACUGUACUUCAGUGAAUUACCCUGAGUUCCUUCCCAAGGUCUACGACUUCUCCCUUAACAUCCUUUUAUACUCUCCCUUUUUCCUCUCUCUCCCUUCACACUUGCAUCAUAGGCUCUUCCCCAGUCUCAACCUCUUGCUUAUUAUCACCUGCCUGUUGAAUACGUUGCCUGGCUUUCAUCCUACAGCAGUCUGGUCCCCUCAGGAUCAGGAACAUUGCUCUUCUUUAUAUUUCUCCAGGCCUAUUCUUGUAUACAUUCGUACGUAUGUAUAUAUUCCCAAAUUAGAUCAUUAUGCAAACUGUGCAUGUUCAAUUCGUAAAUAAAAUAUCUGGAGAAUACCUUUAUAGUUCUAUCUCUUUACAGUCAGCAGCUUAGCCAUCUCUUCUUUUAAAGAUGCUUGCAAUUCUUUUUCUGGCUGAUAUAAAUAAUGUAAAUAAUUCAUGUAUUUAGUAACAAUAAAUAUUCAUAUUUCAUUGGAACCAGACAGUGGUUGUCUAGAUUAAAUUGAACUGCUUUGGAUUCAACAGCUGGCAAUCUCACCAUGCCAAAUAAGGGAUUUUAGUCAUAGUUUAUUCAAAGUGCAUAGCUACCAGAAAUGGGAGGUGAGGAGGAAAGGAAAUGGACUCUUACCCAAAAAGCUAACACAUCUGCCUAUUGACUGCACUUUCUUCAGACUUUGCUACAAGCAAAUAUACUUAUUUCUGGAACAGACUAAAAGGAUGCUGAAAGGAGGAAUAGUUUGCAUGCUUUAUGAGCAUGGAUAAUUAUGUCAGAGUCUCUUACUGCUUUUGGAGUUCAAUUCCUGGUGGGUUGUAUUCUUCUACCCUGAGGAAGCUUGGUGAUUUCAGGGGCUAUUUGACUGAAAAAAAGUACCAACCAAAACAUCUAGUAAAAAAAAAAUGAAUAAUGAAAUAGAAGACUCAUUCCCAAAUCAAAGAUAUUUUCCCUUAAAUUAUUAAACUCUACACUGCAUUUUCAUUUGUUGAAAAUCUUCAUCAUUAACGAGAAGCAGAACUUUGUAAUGUGAAGCAAGAGAGUUCAGACUGUGGGAGAUAUUCAGGGAUUCCGUGCUGAACAUUUGAAGGAAGAGUGGUUUCCUUCCUACCUGUUCCAAUCAGUUGUGCAAUAAGGGGCCAGGGUGGGAAGAAAAGUGCUCAGGUCUCCCUUCUGUGCUUCCUUGGCAUUUGUUUACCUUCCUAAGUUCAUUACAUGAUCUACUGGGCAGGAGGGCUGGGAGCCGAUAUACAUUUUCUUGCUCAGGAAAUUGGACUGCUCAUGGCUGUGCGUUCCAUAUAAAACAGAAAAGAAUCAGAUGAAAUAGAAUCAUCAGCUUUUAACAAAUCUCAUGCUACUUUUUUUUUUUUUUCCACAGAAGAUAGUAGAGGUAUUUAUUGUAGCAGCCAUUCAAGUGCUGCAGAUACCUUCAUGGAAUAGAAAGGCAUUUUUUAGCCAGUCUGAGUUAAAACAUAUUAAAACGUUACUGAAAACAGUCAGUUGUAUUUUAACAUGCAUCAUCUAGUUGAGCUUAAUAAUGGACUUACUGGACUUAUUCCCAGGAGUCCUUUAGAUAGAUAUCUCUAUAUACGACACUAUGAUGGUGGUUCUCUUAUGGAGUAUACAAUAUAUGUCUUUAUGUUCGGAUCAAGCUACUCUGGUCAGGUCCUGUGAAGUAUGAUUAUAAUCUCAAGGGCAGAUAGUUUAGGAAGUCACACUUUUUUUUUUACUUUUUUUUUUUUUUGGUAAUUGUUUGGUGUUUUUUUUCUCCCAAUUUUUGAAAGAGCUGGAGAUAAUGGAAUGCUGAGGGUCAGAGUAUAUAGAGAAAGUUUCAGGUCAGUGGUUUCCAUGAGAGACUUACACAGUUUGCUAGUAGCAGCCUCAAGAUACAGAAUCAUUAGUAAAUCCUUUCUGUCAUUAUUUCAGCUUGCUUCUGUUUUUUGUUGUUUGUUGUUUUUUUUUUUUUUUUCCCCAACGUUCAGCAGCAUUCAGGGCAGCUAGGAUGUGUCAGUAUUGGGAGGCAAGGAUGAUGAUGGCCAAUGGAAACGUUCUUCCUCUUAUGCAUGCUCACCGUGCAGCAUUUGCAGGUGGGCCGUCUGGAAUCACAGCCAUGACUCUGCCUGGUGUUAUUUCCUCAUUUGUUGUUUUCUCCAUCUGCUCAUUUAUUUUCCUGGUUAUGGUCUUCUCUCUGUCUCCAUCUCCCCCUGCUCAUUUGUGAGUUAUUGAUUGUAUGGGAACUGCUGAGUUACGGCCUGAACCACUGAUUGAGCACCUGGGGAAAGGACCCGGUCAGCCCUGGGAGCACAGGUGAAGGCAAUUCAGCUGUGUGACCAGAAGGAAUGGAGCCUCCACCUCCCUUAGACCUCAUUUAAGGGCUGACUGCCCCCAGGAGGGAUAUUUUUUCUGGAGAUCUCUUCUUGGUUAAGUUUUCCUCUGUGAGCCUAGAAUCUUCAGUUGCAGAGGCAGUCAACCUACAGAAGAGCAUCUGCUGGACCCUGAGUGGGGAACAGACAGGCGGAACCCUUGCAAAUGUAAAAGCCAGGAGUGGGUCAGACCCCAGAUGAACGAGGUGGAUGCAAAGGAGACUUAGAUAACUCAAAGCAGAGAAUGCUACACAGGUGUCUCUGGAUGAAGGCCAGUCACUGUGGUGAACUUGCCUCUCCUGUCAUGGUUCCAGAGGUCUGGCCAGGAGGCUGAGCCACAUGCCAAGCUGGUGAUAACUACAGCAGAUGCAUUUGGACUUAAUAUUUAAGUAGAGCAAAUCCUUCUGCUGAGUCUGCUCAUUGUCUUUUUGUUUCUUAAGAAAUUACCUGGUCAGAAGGACAAACUACCCUCAGCCAGACUUCCCUGCCAAAGCCUGCCUCCAGCACUGUUCCCGGCACUUGCAGGUCUGCAGAAAUCCAACUCUUACUGUACAUCCAUUUUUAAAAAUGUGUUAUUGAUACUUCAGGGGACUUCAGAAAUCCACUCCGUUGUGUCUUCAGCCAAGGAAAGGAGUUUGCCUGUCACCAGGACAAAACUGCUUCUCAUGGCUAUCAGGUUGCGUGACUGCAGAGGGUGACCUACCUUAGCCUGCCUGCAUGCCAGGGGAUGAUCUCCAUCUGUUGGAUACGUGUCAUGUGAGCUGCUGACCUGCACUGCAGUAGCACCCUGCAGCACCCGCAAGAUGCUCCGCUGGCUGCUGUGUGAUACGGAGCAAGGAGCACCUGCAGCAGCCUGGAGGAAAAUGGGUCACUCUUGUAGGUACCUUAAAAUAUGAAGGAAAAUUCUUCCUGAAAGCUGUGGAGCUGGAAGCAGUUAUUUAAGUCCUUUUUAAGCAGAAGGGCUGCUCUUGCCUUAGUUCACAGAAAUUAAUGCUGAAGGCACCUGGACUCAAAGGAUGGAAGCUCUGCUCGCUUUUCUCAAAUUGGUUAUUCUGAUAUUUCUGGUGCAUCUUGAAUAUGUAGAAGCAGCAGAACUUGUCUCAAGGAAUAAAGGCAUCAGCACAGGAAGAGGACAGAUGGUGCAUGUUCCUGAAACUGAACCACGGCUCCAUGUUCCCAAAGAAAGUGAAUCCCACAAGGUAGACGUGGUUUUAAAUGAACUGGGGACACUGACAGUUGAGAAAAGAAGGAAUGCCUCAGGUGAGUGAUUGUCCUGUGGGGUGUCAGACCUGGCCAUCCUUGGUCAAGUUGGCCAUGGGAAAUCUCUCCCCAGGAGGGAUGAGUUGCAGUGGUAUGAAGAGGAGCUGGUGGAGGGGCUCUCUCAGGCUUCCCGCAUUUGCACAAACUGCUUCAUGGUUAUGUUAUGUGCUGAUGCUGUCUUUCUGUUCAUUUCGUUUAAAGGUAGCUUUUAAAAGAAGAGCCUGGAGCAGUUUUGUGCUCACAGGAUGCUCUCUGCUCCUUGCAAUCCUGAGGCCUCAAAACCCACUUCGCUUGCCUGGGGGUGCUGAGAUGCUGUACGACUGGCUUUCCUGGGCUGCACUCCAGCUGUGCAGUGUCUUGUGUUAAACUAAUUUAUUCUCUCCAAAGAGAUUACUGGCAUUUAAAUGGUUAUUAAUUAAGGAGAAUUUGUGUUUUUCUCACCUGAUUUUUUUUACAUGCUUGGAAAUAGCAUUUAUUCACGCAAGUUUCUGCUGAAAAACGACUUAUUAAUUCACCUCAGCCUGUGGCCAGCAGUCUUUUGAAGCAAAAGUGCAAGGACUGGUGUAGGUAAGUUACAUGUGUUGCACAGGGAAGAUGUUUUCCUGACUCACACUGGUAGAGGAUGAUAUUCUCUGAACUGUGAGAGUUCCUAAACCUUCCAGAAGACUUCUGCUUGAUUUUCAAGCCUUAUUAUGGUAAGUUGACAUAUUUUUUUAUUUGUUCCUAGCAGAAUUGGUCUUGGAGUGAGGAAAAAAAUACAGAUUAAAUGAUAGUUAGAAUCAUAAGUUUACCAGUUUGCUGGAAGUGUGCAUCUAUGUAUUUUUUUUCAAAUUUCUGCACUGCAAUAGAUUUCUUUUUUUCUUAAUUCCAGAAUGUAUUUGGAGUGUUUCUUUAUCUCUGAUUCCUGUAGGCUGUCUGCAACUACUCUAGGCUGAGGAUGAGCUUGAAAAGAAUACAUAUAUGCUCCUGGAAUAUAAAUUAAUCCUUAACUUCUCCAAGUUAAAUUGGUGAUAACAUUUUUUACCUUCUCAGAUACCAGUUAGUGUCACAAAUAAACCCUGAGUUGUUGUGAAGGAUCAUCUGAUUUCCUAGAUUAAUCCAAAAGAUAUGCUUUCAGAUCUUGAACCCUUCUCCUUAACCUCUGUUCCAAACAUAGUUUAUGCUGAGAUGAAGCAGAGACAAAUACACAAUAGAGCCUAAAUAUUGCUGCCUAAUAGGAACAACUGAGGGGUGUGUGCUAUAUCUUCUCAUAGCAACCAUAGGCCACAUUUCAGAUAUGGGGACUGAAUGGAUCCCAUGCAAUUGUUUCCAUGGUUGCACAGGGUUUGGUGUACCCAGUGACAUUAAUAUUCAUGUCCUUAAUAAAAUAACUUGUACAAAGACAAUUCUUCCCUGUUUAUUUCCUAUCUUAAACGAUUAUUCUGUAGAUGUUCAAAUGGAUUUAAGAUAUAAAAGUUACAUUAAAACGUACAAUUUUUUUUUUUAGCAUGGACUGAGCCUUUCAUACUUAGGUAAGCAAAACUUCAGGUGCCUCUCCAGUAGCACUGUAUGAUUUGGCUGAUGAAAUAAUGAUUCUUUUCCUUUACCAGCUUAUUAUUAUCAAUUAUCAUAACAGAAGUUAGAUAGCCAUUUUUUGUCUGGCAAAGAUAAGUAUGUUGAUGAUGGCUGAUAGUGUUUGGAAGAAGACAGCGUGAGGCUGAGAGUUUAUAGGUGGGGUCACAAUUGUGAAAAGUAACUUACCAUUUUAAGCCCAGUAAGUUGUGCUGGAUCAAUGAACAAUCCUUUAUAGGGCAAUGCCCACUAGUGUCUUUUAAUACCAGGUUGAAGAUUUUUGCCUUUGUUGUCAUCCAGGGUUCUCAGAGGCUCUCCAUCGUUGGAGGCUGUCCAUUAGCUCAUGUUUUAUGUCCUGAAAAACCUCAGCUCUUUAUUUUUGUAACCUCUGUGAUAACAGCACUCUUAAAUUACUCCUUAGCCAACAGUCAUAGAGAAGUCCUCAGUAAGUGCUGUUGUGCUUGGAUAGUUCCACUUGACCAGGACUUCCGUGUAAACUAAAAUCGCAAAUGUUUGGGCUUUAUGAAAGACUCCUUUUAUAGUACCAGUAAUUUGUGGAUGCCCUCCUAGUGCUGGGAUAAACCAUGCCAAUAUGAGGUGUAGGAUCACAGGGAGUCCUUGCUGUGGGAAAUAGGCAUUGUGCAUCUGCUGAUUUACUGGAGCAGUGUUCUGGCAGUUGUGUUUGACGUAUCAAGUCUCAGUGGGAAUAUCUAGCUGUACUUGACCAUGGGGCUCAUAUAUCCAUCCCAUAACCAUAGACUGAAAUUUGCAGAGGUCUCAGAGAGCUCUUCAGAAAUACAACACAGUGCUUUAAGAAAUUGUCCACAUUUGUGUGACUUUGAUAUCUAUAAUAGCUAGUAGCUACAGAGAAGUAAUCAAUGCUGACUUCUGGCCUCUGCUAUAUGGCUGAAAAUCUGUGUGAGUGUGUGGAGCUCUGUAAACUUCCCAGUGAUUUAUCUGAAGCAUUUAUUAUCUGGCUCACAGAUGUGUACCAAAGCACUGUUUACAGAGAAGCUCAGUGUGCAAGCAGUUGAAUUUUUAGCUUGUGUAAACUGUUGUUUUCCCCCCCAAAGUCUACAAAGUUACCAUUUGACAUACCCCAGCAGAGGAUCUGGUCUCUAACAAACUUUCAAUGUAUUGUUCUUGGCUGCAUCUAUGAAUUUUUUGAGUGUGCUGAAGCUGGGCUCUGAAUGCAUUCAUUCAUAAACGACUGUAUAAAUGAUCAAACACAAGGCUUCUUGAUCUCAAGUGCAAUAAAUCCUCUGCUUGCAGGUUUACUGGAUGGUAGACUACCAUAGAAAUACUUCCUCCCAUAUGUACAAGGAAGCUGGACUCAAGUAUUGCUCACUUUGGAAAAAUGCCCCUGCAAGUUCCUGAAUUUCUUUGGCACGCAUAACAGAGUGGACAGAAGCAUCUCAAUCUUCACGUGUGGUGGUGUUGGGCCAGGUACAGCCUGCCUACAUGGAUCAUGUCUCCAGAGACACUGCUUACUGCUUUGGGUAAAGCAGUGGCAGUGGAGAAGAAGCAUUUACCUGAAUAUCUGCAAAAUGCAAGCAGAAGGAAAGCUGUGGUUCAAGGUGCUGAAGAAAUGCCAAAGGACAAGCUAAUGCUGCAUGUUGCUAGCCACCUGCUGCAGGAUACUUCACCCAUUUGGAGAACUGUGCAUAGAAUGCUACCACCUUCAGUCAGCAGGAUGUGUCUGAUACGAGAGCUGCUACCUGCCACCUGAUGUGUCUCACCCUGGGAGACAGGACGAUGAAGUAAUGGAGCCUGGCUGUCUGCAGCCAGGGCUGCUGUACUACAUCCAAAGCAAGCUUGAAGUCAGCAAGUGCUGCAUUAAUCUUUCUGGGAGUGUUUGUUUUGCUUGUUUUGUUAGGCUACAUUUCAAGCAACUGAUAAUGUGUUCGUGAGCAGUUCUCCUGUUGCAGCCCAUUUUUCAAAGGAAGUGUGAAGACCGAUGCUCCAAAGGUUUGGUGGAACAUGAGUGUGAAGGGUUAUGUAUGAUCAUGCUUGAAAUGUGUGAGCUGACAGUGCUUUCAAGUGCAUGUUAAUAUGUCUGUGCAGGUACUUUUGGGAUAGAGAAGUUAUGGCUUUGUGUGAAGUCUGAUCAGUGUUUUAAAAAAUACACCUUUGUCAUGGUUCUUUAUGGAUGCUAAUUGUGCUAGUGCAGCUACCUCACUGCAAUUGAGUUGUGUGUUUAUUUACUUACUGAUAGUCAAGUCUUCUAACUAAUCAAGGCUAAACUCUGAAGCUUUCUGAGGAUUAAACAAUAAAUGCUUUAUUGCUUAAAGCUUUUUGAGCAUUGAAAUGCCUGAGAUUUUUGGAGGUAAAUGUCAGUGUAUAUGGCUUGUUGCUACCUGAACUUGUAGUGUCACUGCUCCGUCCAUCUGUGUUACUGUUGUUACAGUUCUAUAGAGUUCUAUAGAUGUUUCAAAAUAUUUGUGCCUUUAGUUCCUACUAGUCAGAAAGGAAUCCCCAAGAACUUUUAAGGAUGUGGAAAAUUCAGAUAUGAUUCCAGAGCCUCCUGGAUCAGUUGAAAAGGAAAAUACAUAUAUUUUUUUCUGGACUCUUUUCUCUUUUCAAGAAACCAUGUGCUGAUUUGAGGGGGAAAAAAAAAAUAGCAAUGUAGAAACAUUGCUGUAGAGACAAGUCAAGAGAAUUGUAGCUCCAGAGUGAGAAUACAAGGAAGUGUUAAGACCUUGAGGUCUUUUAGGCUGCUUAAGUACUCUGAAAGAAUCAGUUAUUGUGGAUGGGAUGUUGGCAUUUAUGAUGUGGUGAUCUCUCAGGAUAACACAAACCCAGUGGCUGUUUCAUGUGUGCAUACUUACCUGGAAACUUUGAGAAGAAAUCUUUUAUUUAAAUAUGAUCUUUUCAGCUGGGAGCACUCUGAAAGUAGUACCAAACAAGACGUAACAUUUCUACCCUGAAGUCAAAUCAUCUGCUUAGCAUCUUGCUCUGGAAGGACCCACAACUGGUGCAACUCUGGCACACAGAGAACAGGAUGCCUAAAUGGGGAAUGCUGGUGCUCAUCCACUCCUGCUGCGUGAAUGAACGCUGUGAGAAUUCCCUUGACACAGGAAAGUGUUGUGGUAUCAGACUCAACAUUAAUUGGUGUGGUAACAGGAGGGUUCCUCCAGGCUCAAGAAACAUUAUAAAACCCCCCUUCUCCAAAUCAGCUGCUAACAGUCAAUUUAAGAGAGCUUCACAUCUUGUAUUCUGCUGCAUACCUCUUUUUGAAGUGUAAUGCCAAUCCUGACCUCUGUGACACACCAUCUUACAGUUACAUAGUAGGACAGUCAUGUCCUAUCAUGUAAGACACCCUACAAGCUGCUGCAAAUGACAGUGGGGAGACUGUACAGCUCUUGGUGAUGCAAGGUCCUUGAUAUGGACUUAUCACACUGUGAGGUGUAUUGUGGCAGAUGGGGGUUAAACUGUUGGCAAUCCAGUGCCUACAAAAUCUAAGCAUGGUUUCUCUUGCAGGACUUAUCCUCCUAAUUUUCUUGAGAAAGGAUUGAGUCUUUUGUAUAUUACAUAGAAAGAAUAACAGAAGUUCUUUGGAAAAACAAAAUAUAUGCUCUGCAAUUUCUGAAGUGAGAGUACACAGAGUUCAGGUAUGCCAAUUCCAUUUGCAUGUUUCUUUGGAACGCUGAAAUGAAUACAGCAAAUGAAUAGUAAUGUCAAGAUACUGCAAAAACAAAAAGCACUGAAAGAGAAUUCUCGUGGACUGAUGAACUGAGAGCUGAAAUGGGAGCAGCAGGUCAGAACCAGUUGGUGAUCAGAUACUGUAUGCUGGAUCUCCAUUUUUAAGCCAUCUUCAAGACUGAUGUGUUAGACAAGUAGAAGUCUAACUGCUGGGGGAGUUCCUGGAACUACACAACAACUUGCUGUCAGAGCGACUUGCACCAUCACAAGGCAUCACCUCUGCUUUCCAGACACUGAGUCUCCAGACAAUUAAUGCAUGUCUUCAGUUACUACGUUGUUUCUCUCACACUUCUCCUGGAUGAGUAUGAAACUGCUGAGCUGAAUUACACUUUAUAAGGUGAUAGGGAAAAGAUCUAACAUCUAUUUUUUCCAUCUUACAGAUUUUACAGUGUGAGUGAUGCUAAUUUUUCAGCCUAACAACCAACCAUGCACUGAAGCCCUGCUACUUCUGAGCUGACAUCAUCCAGAUGAGAAAGCUUCUUUCUAGUAACUUAUCAGCCUGGAAAACCAGCCCUGCAGGGUAACACCCAACCCAUGCUUUAAAUGUCAAGGAGAAAAACAUCUUUGUAUUGCCGAGCAGUCACAGCAGCUUCACUUCUGAUUUGAUAGCCUUGGAUGGAAGCAGGUACCAGCAUGAUGAUUCAGAAACCCUUGAAGAUAUAGUCAUAUUUUCAGCAACAGAUGGAUUUAACACUGCAGAUGGAGUGUUAAGAGUGCAGGGGCUGCUGGAGACCUGCCAACAGGAACUACUGACUGCAGAUUUGGGAAGAACGCAGGCAGUUUGGAAAGCGCGGUUUGCAGAGUUGUCUGUGGACUCUGAGAACAUAUUCAAAACCAGAAUUCUCUCUGGAACAUUGACUCUCGCUUGAUGGUAUGAUAGACUUCUACUUUAGAUCUGACCUGCAGAUGGGGUCACUGAUCACAUCGUCUCAUUCAUUGGUUGGACUUCUAUAUACAACGUUUGGAAUAAAGCAACUGGUCACUGCUGCAUGCAUAUCAGACUUAGCA